rnacentral:rRNA from 1 species
UACGUAGGGUGCAAGCGUUAAUCGGAAUUACUGGGCGUAAAGCGUGCGCAGGCGGCUUUGCAAGACAGAUGUGAAAGCCCCGGGCUCAACCCGGGAGGGUCGUGGCAAACCGGCGGGCUUGAGGCCGGUAGAGGUGGGUGGAACUCCUGGUGGAGUGGUGAAAUGCGUAGAGAUCGGGCAGAACACCCGUGGCGAAGGCGGCCAGCUGGGCUGGGCCUGACGCUGAGGCGCGAAGGCGUGGGGAGCGAACGGG